GCUGGAGUGGCGGAAUGGCUUACGCGCUGGUCUCAAAAACCAGUAACCGCAAGGUUGUGUGGGUUCGAGUCCCACCUCCAGCACCA
rnacentral:tRNA from 1 species